rnacentral:rRNA from 1 species
GACGAACGCUGGCGGCGUGCUUAACACAUGCAAGUCGAGCGGUAAGGCCCUUUCGGGGGUACACGAGCGGCGAACGGGUGAGUAACACGUGGGUGACCUGCCCUUAGCUCUGGGAUAAGCCUGGGAAACUGGGUCUAAUACCGGAUAUGACUCCAUGACGCAUGUUGUGGGGUGGAAAGCCUUGUGCGGCUAGGGAUGGGCCCGCGGCCUAUCAGCUUGUUGGUGGGGUGAUGGCCUACCAAGGCGACGACGGGUAGCCGGCCUGAGAGGGCGACCGGCCACACUGGGACUGAGACACGGCCCAGACUCCUACGGGAGGCAGCAGUGGGGAAUCUUGCGCAAUGGGCGAAAGCCUGACGCAGCGACGCCGCGUGAGGGAUGACGGCCUGG